AGGUCAUCCUAUGCUGGUUCCUUAAGGUCCUGUGACAAUAUAAGGAUACACUUUCCUGUCCCAUCGCAGUGGAUCAAGGCCCUUUGGACCAUGAACCUCCAGAGGCAGAAGUCUCUGAAAGCUAAAAUGAACCGCCGAGCAUGUCUGGGGAGUUUACAGGAACUUGAAUCUGAACCUGUCAUUCAAGUCACUGUGGGGUCAGCAAAAUAUGAGAGUGCCUACCAGGCAGUGGUAUGGAAGAUAGAUCGGCUUCCAGACAAAAAUUCAAUUUUCCGUGCCUGACACCUGUGCCUCAAGGACAGAGGUCAGGUCUCUGGGAGUGGAGAGUGAUGUCCAGCCACAGAAACAUGUUCAGCAGCGAGCUUGCUACAACAUCCAGGUUGAAAUAGAAAAGAAGUGGAUUAAAAUCGAUGGAGAAGACCCAGAUAAAAUUGGUGACUGCAUAACUCAGUAGGAGUAGCAAGAGUUUAUGAUGACAGCCCACUUGUCAAAUAUGUAAUUCACCGAAACCACACCAAGUCCUGCUACUGUAGAGUGGAAAUGACUUCUGAAUAGCGGUUUUAGGACAGGUCUGAUGGCUGUGUUUAGAGAAGUUUAGACCUAAAACCGAACAAUCUGUAUUUUUUGCUUUUCAUGUGUUUUUGUCCUAGGGGUUCGAUCUAAAAUGUUUCUAUAAUUCGUGUGAUGUUUUGCUUCCUAUUGAAACUCAAAGGCACUGUUACUCGUUGUGUGACCCCGCAGCCAGUAUGAUUUUUGAUUACUCAGUGGCUGACUGUUUUGCUCUCUGGAUUACUGAGGUGCCGUCUUCAUUUCUUCCCAUCUCUUCUUGCUGCUUAGUGUCUGUACUAGAGGGUAAGGGAAUCAAAGGAGACAUAAACCAAAAUAGUUAAUUUUCCCUCUUUCUUGCCUCUGAAAUGUGGCUAGGUGUAGAAUGAUGUUGAAACCACAGGCUAAAAUGUAGAUCUGGAAGUAUCUGUGCUUUUGAAUUACUUAUUUACCUGUCCUC
rnacentral:lncRNA from 1 species